AUAUCAAUAAGCGGAGGAAAAGAAACCAACAGGGAUUGCCUCAGUAGCGGCGAGUGAAGCGGCAAAAGCUCAAAUUUGAAAUCUGGCGUCUUUGGCGUCCGAGUUGUAAUUUGAAGAAGGUAUCUUUGGGCCCGGCUCUUGUCUAUGUUCCUUGGAACAGGACGUCACAGAGGGUGAGAAUCCCGUGCGAUGAGAUGACCCGGGUCUGUGUAAAGUUCCUUCGACGAGUCGAGUUGUUUGGGAAUGCAGCUCUAAGUGGGUGGUAAAUUCCAUCUAAAGCUAAAUAUUGGCGAGAGACCGAUAGCGAACAAGUACAGUGAUGGAAAGAUGAAAAGAACUUUGAAAAGAGAGUGAAAAAGUACGUGAAAUUGUUGAAAGGGAAGGGCUUGAGAUCAGACUUGGUAUUUUGCAUGUUGCUCUCUCGGGGGCGGCCGCUGCGGUUUACCGGGCCAGCAUCGGUUUGGAGCGGCAGGAUAAUGGCGGAGGAAUGUGGCACGGCUUCUGCUGUGUGUUAUAGCCUCUGACGAUACUGCCAGCCUAGACCGAGGACUGCGGUUUUUACCUAGGAUGUUGGCAUAAUGAUCUUAAGUCGC
rnacentral:rRNA from 3 species